UCUGAAUCCCCUGUCCUCGCGCACCAGGAAACAAAGAGAAACUAACAAAAAGGUGAGCAGAGUCUCCUGCUGUCCCUGAAGCUUCUUGUCAGAUGAUGUAACUACGGCAACCACCCCCAAUCUCAAUUCCCAGAAGGUUAGCCACAGCUUCACCCUUUCCACUCCCACAUUAAGAACCAUCAGAAAGCA